UACGGGGGGAGCAAGCGUUGUUCGGAUUUACUGGGCGUAAAGGGCGCGUAGGCGGCCACCGCAAGUCAGUUGUGAAAUCUCUGGGCUUAACCCAGAAAGGUCAACUGAUACUGCGGGGCUAGAGUGCAGAAGGGGCAACUGGAAUUCUCGGUGUAGCGGUGAAAUGCGUAGAUAUGCGGAGGAACACCGAUGGCGAAGGCAAUCCCCUGGGCCUGCACUGACGCUCAUGCACGAAAGCGUGGGGAGCAAACAGG
rnacentral:rRNA from 1 species